AAAACAGUCUGGUCAGGCUUAAAGGAUAAUAGGAAAGUAGGGCUGGAAAGGACCUCACAAGGUCAUCUAGUCAAGAGCCCUGCUUAAGGCAAGAUCAUCCUGAUUAAAUAAUCCUAGCAUUGUGGCCAUCAAACCUGCUUUUGAAAGU